rnacentral:rRNA from 1 species
AGUCGAACGGAAAGGCCCUUCGGGGUACYCGAGUGGCGAACGGGUGAGUAACACSUGGGUGAUCUGCCCUGCACUCUGGGAUAAGCCUGGGAAACUGGGUSUAAUACCGGAUAGGACCACACACUUCAUGGUGAGUGGUGCAAAGCUUUUGCGGUGUGGGAUGAGCCCNCG